AAUCAACGCUGGCGGCGUGCCUCAGACAUGCAAGUCGAACGAUUAAAGCUCUCUUCGGAGAGUGCAUAGAGUGGCGCACGGGUGAGUAACACGUAAGUAAUCUACCUUCGAGUGGGGAAUAACGUCCGGAAACGGACGCUAAUACCGCAUAAUGCAGCGGCAUCGUAAGAUGACAGUUGUUAAAGAUUUAUCGCUUGAAGAGGAGCUUGCGGCAGAUUAGCUAGUUGGUAAGGUAAUGGCUUACCAAGGCUACGAUCUGUAACCGGUCUUAGAGGACGGUCGGUCACACUGACACUGAAUAACGGGUCAGACUCCUACGGGAGGCAGCAGUCGGGAAUUUUGGGCAAUGGGCGAAAGCCUGACCCAGCAACGCCGCGUGAAGGAUGAAGUAUUUCGGUAUGUAAACUUCGAAAGAAUGGGAAGAAUAAAUGACGGUACCAUUUAUAAGGUCCGGCUAACUACGUG
rnacentral:rRNA from 1 species